GUCAUCUAGGAGGAGGGCCUUGAAGGUGCCCUUCACUGGGGUGGACAAGCUACCUGAAGGAACAUUUGUGGAUGAGUUCAUCACAGCUGGGGAGCCCCUUCAGUGGCUGGUGGAGAGGGGAGGUAACAGAUACCAUGGCCUGGAUUGUAACACACAGCAGAGUGAGGAUGACAAUAUGGUGAAGACACAGGUUCAGGAGCUUCUGGAGAAGGCAGAGGAGCUGGUUAAAGACAACCAUGGCUGGUAUUUUGCAGCUAGGAGUAGGAGCAGGCAAGGAGGGCGGUUGAGGAGGGUGAGGGAGAAGGCACAGAGGGUCCGGAUGAUCUUUGCACUUUGUCGGGCUGGAAAAGAGUGGAAAAAAGUUGACAGGAACACCAUCUUAGAUCAGAGGGCCUUUUUAGUCGAGGACAGAGAUGGAGCAGAGCCUGAGGAGGCAGGCUGAUGUGGUCGGAGGCAAGGUCACCAUAGUAGACACCCUCAACUGGGACUGGGUUUCUGUGAGGCGCACAAUGAAGCAAAGGGCCACCCUCCUCCAGCCCAGCCGCCAUAUAACCACCACAGGUUCUAGGAUAGGGUAGGGUCAGAGACCUGAACUGGGUACCGGAAUGGAAAACACGCAACACAGGAUUAUCAAAAAUAGUUUUAUUACAAAGAUCAUGUACAAACAGGGCUGUACGGGGUGGGCUUGGAAUCGCACCUAAAAGGAAAGUUAGUGUCUCAGUCUAAAGCACAAAAUGGCUACUGCAAUAAUUUAGUGGUUACAUGCAAUGUUCAAGUCUUUAAAGUAUCUUAGUCGGCACAGCAAAGCACACACUGUAAUCAAUAAGGAUGAAAUAUCAUAAGGUCUUCAGACUAAAGUGCACAUGCAAUAAAUAGGCAAGCCCCUUAAAUGUAACAAUAGAUGCCAAACACAAGAAUGACCUCGCUGGCUGUCUACACAGCUAAACACAAGUGUACUCCGGAUACUUACAGCUAACACAGAGACUGUAUAUAGAAGAUGUCCUCUGUGAAUGGAAGUUCGCAAGCUACGAUAGGUCUAGUGUGAGACAGCAACAGCUCCAUCCCUGUCUUUCCUUUUUGCUGCUCCAGGAAAUGCACAACCAUUUUGUAGGAACAGGUGGAGGUGCUUUCUGCUGAGCCACUUCUGCCACCAAUCAGAACACUCAAACAAUUCAUUCAGACAGACCAAUAGGAAAGCAUAUACAAAUCACAUGACAACCAUAAUUACUCAAAAAGAGGCAGCUUUACACCCACACCAUCAUCCUGGUGCUGUCCUUGGUCACUGACCUCAAGAGGCAUGGUUCCACACCAUGGUGCUGUUCACCUGCCGGGCUUGGCUGAGCCACACAGUUGUUGAGGAGCACAUUCAGAGGGGAGGGCUUGAGUUCCGCAGUUUGGAUCUGCUGGACAAAAUAGAGGAAAUUCAGACUGAAUGGUGAUGAGGCCUUCUUGCCCGUACACAGAGAUUAUGGGUCAGCCAUAGUAGAACAGCACUCCUGGAGCAUAUGCGGGUUAAGUGCCUUGAUCAAAGGCACAUCGACAGAACAUCCGUGUGUUGUUGAAUCCUACUGCAGCUGGAGAGAGAGACAGUUCUGACAUAUGGAAUUGUUUUAAGAUGGUCACACUAUGGAUUAUUUUCUAUUUCAUUUAUAAUUUUAAGACCCUUUUAGAUAUAAAGAAUAUAUACUUUUUUUUGUUUAUAAAAUAUAGAAUUUGGCCUUUACUACUAUAGCCCAGAUCAACGCAUUGAAUAACACAUUCAUAAAUGGCAAAAAAAGAUAGUAAAAAAAAGUAUCAUAAGAAACAAGGUUUUGAAGUGUUUGUCCUAUAUCUAGGAGAUAUAAGAAAAGUAUAAUAAAUAUGAGUCUCAGUCAACUUUGGACACACCUACUCAUUCAAG
rnacentral:lncRNA from 1 species